CGCUGGCGGCAGGCCUAACACAUGCAAGUCGAGCGGAAACGAGUUAUCUGAACCUUCGGGGAACGAUAACGGCGUCGAGCGGCGGACGGGUGAGUAAUGCCUAGGAAAUUGCCCUGAUGUGGGGGAUAACCAUUGGAAACGAUGGCUAAUACCGCAUAAUACCUUCGGGUCAAAGAGGGGGACCUUCGGGCCUCUCGCGUCAGGAUAUGCCUAGGUGGGAUUAGCUAGUUGGUGAGGUAAUGGCUCACCAAGGCGACGAUCCCUAGCUGGUCUGAGAGGAUGAUCAGCCACACUGGAACUGAGACACGGUCCAGACUCCUACGGGAGGCAGCAGUGGGGAAUAUUGCACAAUGGGCGCAAGCCUGAUGCAGCCAUGCCGCGUGUGUGAAGAAGGCCUUCGGGUUGUAAAGCACUUUCAGUCGUGAGGAAGGUAGUGUAGUUAAUAGCUGCAUUAUUUGACGUUAGCGACAGAAGAAGCACCGGCUAACUCCGUGCCAGCAGCCGCGGUAAUACGGAGGGUGCGAGCGUUAAUCGGAAUUACUGGGCGUAAAGCGCAUGCAGGUGGUUUGUUAAGUCAGAUGUGAAAGCCCGGGGCUCAACCUCGGAAUAGCAU
rnacentral:rRNA from 1 species